rnacentral:rRNA from 1 species
CUACGGGCCGCUCCAGUGGGGAAUAUUGGACAAUGGGGGAAACCCUGAUCCAGCAAUGCCGCGUGUGUGAAGAAGGCCUGCGGGUUGUAAAGCACUUUCGGUUGGGAGGACUGCUUCUAGCACUAAUAUUGUUGGAAGUUGACGUUACCUUCAGAAGAAGCACCGGCUAACUCCGUGCCAGCAGCCGCGGUAAUACGGGGGGUGCAAGCGUUAAUCGGAAUUACUGGGCGUAAAGCGCGCGUAGGCGGCUAGAUCAGUCGGGUGUGAAAGCCCCGGGCUUAAACUGGGAACUGCAUCCGAUACUGUCUAGCUUGAGUACAGGAGAGGAGAGUGGAAUUCCACAUGUAGCGGUGAAAUGCGUAGAUAUGUGGAGGAACACCAAUGGCGAAGGCAGCUCUCUGGCCUGAUACUGACGCUGAGGUGCGAAAGCGUGGGGAGCAAACAGGAUUAGAUACCCUAGUAGUC